rnacentral:lncRNA from 1 species
UUUUGUAGUAGUAAAACUAACUGUCAUGUUCCCUCCAUUGUUUUGGGCUGUUUGUGACUUAUUUGCAGCACUCCUAGUUGUGCGAGUAGUACUUGUACCUGCCGGUGCGGUAGCUGCGAGCUGUGUUAGUGGCAGGCUGCUACCUAGGUUAUCCUGUAGAUCAAUAGUUUGAGGGAAAAUUAGGCCCCAUAUACUAUGGACUAUCACAUGACAGCAUUAAAAACUCUUCAGUUCUCAAAGUACCUGGUGAUGUGAUAUUUCUUCACUUUCUGUAGUUACGUUUCCUUCCACCAUGUUUGUUGCAGCAGCAACCUCUGCAAUUUGUUCCCCAUCUUUAUUAGCCUGCAUUUAAUUUUUGGUCAGAAAAAUUAUGAGUGGAGUAUGAAAGUACAAAAUUG